GCUCGCUUAGCUCAGUCGGUUUAGAGCGACGUGCUAAUAACGCGUAGGUCACAGGUUCGACCCCUGUAGUGAGCA